GUCUUCCCGCCGCCACAUUACGUAAGGCUCCGGAUAUCCGGAUGCACGACACACCAAGGUUACAUCCGAGCCUUCACGUACCACCAUAUCCGUCGACGUCAUAUUAUCGAUGAUUGAUGGAGGCACUAUAUAAACCAAUCAGGAUCGAUCGGGUGGAGCGAACAAACAUGACGUGGAGUGGUAAUUUUAGGUGCCAGCGUGUCUGGUGCCGUCGGGGACGGCUAUGGCGCAUUGGCAGCGACUAGACUUACUGGUGGCGAUGACGUCGAAGAUACGGACAACGACGGACAUGAUAUAUGCGUGACCCACCAACGAAAAAUAAAUUGUUUACCGUACAAGAAAAACAUUACCAGUGAUAAAAAAAUAAUCGUUGCAAAUAAGUUAAAAGGUCGCUUAAUUAUGGCAGAUUUUUAAUGUGUAUACUCACAGAUGAUUUUAGGCCACAAAUCGAAAGAAGAAUUUAUAUUUUUUAUAAAAAAAUGUAUCAAUUUCUAUAUAUAGUUAUUAGUAAUCAUAAAUUCUUGAAUAAUAAUAAAUAUUUAUAAAUAUUGAAAAAAUUAAUUUUUUUAUAAAUAUACUUUUUAAAAUAAAUAUAAUAUUAAUAUUAUACAUUAUUCCGAAUUAAACUACGAGUUACAGAAUAGUAAUUUCAGUGGCCUGAAUUCAAUACAUAAUAAUCAAUGAUUGUCUUGACGUAAGCAAGUAGUAUUUCAAUAUUCUACUAUUCAGAUUUCAACAGUAGUAUCCAAUAUUGCUAAGUACUUUGCCAACUAACAGAAAGCAUACUAUGAAAUUUUAGGUAUUUCAGCAAGGAUUCAAAGGUAGAUUGAGAACAUGAGUCCAGAACGUUAUCGAUUACGAAUCAUUUUGUAAACUAUCUUUGCAAUCUGUUACCUGUUUUAAAGUUUGAAAUGGAAAUAGAAUCAACUGAGUUAUUGUGAUGAUUUUAAUUAAAAUUGUAGUUUCCUUGUACCUAUUAGAAGUUUCACGACCACUUGGUAAAGUUAGAAUGGACGAAUAAGAAUAAACAUCUAGAUGACCUUAAUUUAUUAUAGACUCAGGAUUUUAUGAUGAAGAGUAAUUAUUCACAAUGAAUAAUAAAUAAUUGAAAUAAUGAAUAAUAAUAAUAAUAGUAAUUUAUUUAUUGGAAACAGUAGAUAUAUACCUAAUUUGAUUUUGGUAUAUAUACUAUAGUUAUGACUGCAUAAAGCUAAUGGACUUACCAUCUGGGACUUCUAUUGGUGCUACAGAGACUACAUUUUGUCCGCUAGUUAAUUCACGACCUGCAAUCAAAAUCUUAAUUUAAAUGAACGUCAUAAAGAACUUUUUCGAUGUAAUUCGAUUAAGAGAAUAAAACGGGUAUGAUUAAGAAUUUUUAAUUAAUUAUUCAAUCUUAUUAGCAUUCAUGAAAAUAAUCAUAAUAAAGCAUCAGCAUAGUAAUCUAAUAAUGUAAUAAUACUUAAAUCAAAGAUUUUUAGGUAAUUAAUAAAAAAAUUUAAUUACUAAAAUUUUUAAAGUUUGUUUGAAACUAAAUCAAAUGAAAGUCAUUUGCUUUAAUAUUUCAAAAUAUCCCUUAUUUAUAAACACGUCAAACUUCUUACAAACCUAUGUCAGCUCUCGAAGUGUUUUGUCUUUUCCUUUUGUACUAAUUUCUCAAUUUGAAAGACAAUGACAAAAUACUGUAAUAGUUAAAAUAAGUUUGCAGGAUGUUUUAAUUUUUAUGAAUAAGAGGGUAACUUGAUAUUCGAAUACAUGUUACAAAUACACUUCUCAUUACUGCAUGGUAUGUACAAUUUUACAUGACACGGUAACAUUGUUUUUAUUGUUGUCUCUCAACAUUCCAGCAAAAAUCAUGUGAUGUGUUAAAAAAAUUAAAAGGUUUAGCGUAUGUUGUAUAUUGUUAAUGUAUCCCAAACGGCAUAUGCACAUUAAUUGUCGCUGUCGUCCCUUCGCUACAUUAACUAGGAUAGGUUUUUGUCGAGAGAAGCGUAUGCCAUUACGUCUAGCGAUGACAGCCCCUCUCCGCUUCUGCGACAGGAUUGUUCCAUUAUCGGCCUGGAGUUAUGAAUAAUUGACGCUCUCGACUACGCUCCGUGGAUGCGGUGAUGACGUAUCAAAUUAUGGUGAUAGCGUGGCGUGAUCGCACUUGGAAGCCAUUUACUGUUGCGAUCGUCAAGUGUGUACCGUUCAAUCAGUAUAUGAUAUGUUUGUUAAUUAAUGUAUUUAAUUGUAAACAGAUUCAAUUUAUGGUCCCUACCAUACAAAUACCGUACAAAUUCUAUUAAUUUAUUAUAAUCUUAAUAAUGAUAUUUCUAUAAUUUAUUUAUUGAAGUAAAUAGUACCUAUUAAAGAAAUUGGCACUAGUUAUAAAUGCGAUAUAAAUAUGAACAAUUUAAACGAUCCUACUUUUGAAGAUCAUUUCUAUAUAUCAAAAUGCUUAAUAUUUUAGAAGUAAUAUUUGAUCUAGUUUCAAUUAUUUGAAUUGCCAAAAUUUUAUCUAUGAUAAUUUAUUGUGAUAUUGAAGAAAAUCGGAUAUUCCAUUGAGAAAUUAUGAAGUAAAUGCAUAUGUUUGCUAUUUGUAAAGCUGAUAUAUAAAAUUGGAAUACAUUUACAUUUGAUACAACCUAACAAUCAUUAUAAUAUCUAAGUAUGCACAAUAGUUAGUUUUGAAAGGCGUUUUUAAAUAUUAUAAAUAGAUAAUACUAACAGUAUUAUUAUUUUUGAAACUUAUGUUCAUUAUUUAACGAGGUCUAUUUACAAGUAUAUGUAUAAAGUGUAUAUACUUCCGUACAAAGUUGAAACAAUUGUCGGAAACGACAAACAUACUAUACUAGUACAAAAAAUCUCGUUUUAUAUAAACAGUAUUAUUAUAAUAUUAUUUAUAGACUAAUAAGGAUUUAAUAUAAACAUUUGAUCAAUUAUGAUCGGAUUGAUUGUAUUCUAUCUAAUGCAGGAUUCAUUGAAACCGGUGUGUACACCUGAGAUGUGCUAAGAAACUGGAUAAAAAUUAAAAUAUGUAUAUGGA